AGUGAAUGAAAAUAUGAAGUAACAUCAGAUAGAGCUAUUUUACAAGAAUUCAGUUUCUUCAUUGUGGCGACAUGAAGCAAGUUUGCCUACAAGCCCAUCCAUAAGUAAAAAUUCAGAACGAAGGAAGGUAUUAUGAUCAGAGGCUGUAUGCAGUAAUUGAAGACACUCCUGAUGAUCCCACACAAUCAGAGUGACACGUUACUUAGGAUGAAAAUUAAGAAGAAAAGCCGAUUUAUAGGUUGUUUUACUAUGGCCAAUGCUUCUGCAAAGAUGAACAAAUCUACCUCAAAAGAUUAAAAAAAAAAAAAAAAAGAACAAAACAAAACAAAAAACAACCAUUUCUAUGCUUUUCCAUGUAAGAGACUCACUAAAAUUUUGUAUAACCUUUGCUAUAACUUGCAGCACUUUGGGAUUUUAAGUUUUAAUGAAACUAUAGAAAAUAUCUUAAACUGAAUGAUUUCUAUUCAGAGCACUUGGAGUGCUGAUACCAUGAACAGUAUAGAUGGCUCCAGCCAUAACUGUCACACAGAUAAUAUUCUUUUAUGCCUCAAGACACUGAGAUGGUGCUGUAGAUAACCAAAAGAAAUAAGCUGCCACCAUCACUAAUCUGCAGUUUUGAAACAGUAUAGCUUUUGCAUGGUUAAGAGAAGGUAAAAUCACCUACCAGUGUAAUAGAGAAGACAUUUAAAAAGUGAACGGGACCUGGAUGAAUUAAAGCUUUCAUAUUUAUUUGUUAUCCAUAUGCACCGUGGAUCAAAUCGUCCAUAUUCAAUUUUAUGUGUUUAUGUAUGACAAUUGAAAAUACAAAAUGAGCUAGGGCCUUUCCAUUCCCCUAGGACAUUUUUGCUAAUGUAGUGAAAUGAAAAUCUAAGGAGUAUUUGGCCUCAAUGUUCCCUUCAGAGGUUAACUUUGGAGAAUCUUAAGUGUGUGUUCUUAUGGCUGGAUUUGUAAUGUGUGUAGCAGAUUAGAAUGUAAUAUGAUAUUCAGUUGCACCACCCAAACAGAAAUUGCUGUCUGUAUUUUUCUCACCCAGCAAAUAUUGCUUGAGGGCUUUUUACAUGGAUAAAAUUGAAUUUUACAUUCCUAUUGCAUAAUGUGACUUAUCAACUACUUUCUGUAUGUGUGAGUCUGGGGUUUGGUGAACACAAAUCAUAACCAAAGUUUGAUGAACAUCUUCUAUAAAGCUAGGAUACUAGAUCCAUAAAAAAAGAGAAGAUAAUUAGUUUUAUGUCUGGAGCUACCUUUUGGAGUGAAAUACAUCAUUUCAUAUCACAAUGGAAUGCAUCCUUACUGGCAAGAAAAAAAAAUACUAUUCCUUGCUACUUACUCUUCAUAAGAAAAAUAAAUAAAGAUAAGAUCAAAAUAAAUUUUGAAAUACCAAACAUAUUUAUUUUUACUUAAUUUCAAUGGUUGUUUUUUAUAUUUGGUUUGGAAAUCUCCAAUCAGAAAUCCUUUCAUUUGAGAAUACAGGCUGACAUUCAAGACUCAGGGAAACAGAAAAAAACAUAAUGAUAAACCAAAUAUCAUGAGAAUUGGACCCUACAAUAAAACCAUUUUCUCAUUAUUUGUUCUAAGAAUGUGACAGCUUUCCAGGGAAAAGAAAAAUUCUACUUGAAAAUGUAGAGCAAGAUACACAAUUUUUGUAAUCGAACACAAGAGUUAUCAAUACUAAUCUGCUAAUUUGUGCCCCAAAAUGCAAUCAUAUUGUUGGGACAAAAACACAAUGCAUUCAGGAAGCUAUUAAAUGCACAGCAGUAUUUGAAAUCGAACCACAGUGACUUGUUGUUAUGGCAUGCUGACAUUAUUGGUUCUUGUGUAUAGUUACAUAAUGAUCUCUGAAGCCAGCUUUAAAAACUGUUCUAUA
rnacentral:lncRNA from 1 species